rnacentral:rRNA from 1 species
UACGUAGGGGGCAAGCGUUGUCCGGAAUUAUUGGGCGUAAAGCGCGUGUAGGCGGUUCGGUAAGUCCGCUGUGAAAGUCGGGGGCUCAACCCUCGGAUGCCGGUGGAUACUGUCGAGCUUGAGUACGGAAGAGGCGAGUGGAAUUCCUGGUGUAGCGGUGAAAUGCGCAGAUAUCAGGAGGAACACCAAUUGCGAAGGCAGCUCGCUGGGACGUUACUGACGCUGAGACGCGAAAGCGUGGGGAGCAAACAGG